AUAUAAUUAGUUUUCUUUGUAUUGUAGAGUUUUAUUCUAGCUUUAAAAUGUUUUGUUGUUAUUUGCUUUUUCUUUUGGCUUUUAAAAGAGUUAACUCUUUACUAAUUUCAGACUUAAAGCAGAGCUUUAUGAAGCAGAUUACAAAUCUUGGUUAGCAUUAUGAUCUCAGAACAAUCAUGGGUGCUCAUUGUGUGCAGCAUUGAUCAUGACUCGUGUUGUGUACAUGAAGGAAUGAGCCAUGUUAAUGUGGCUAGUGGGUGAUUUGUAAUAAGGCAGAUGGUCAAAAAGGGGAGUAGCACAAAAAGUUGAAGUCAUUUUUUAUGUAUUUAUCAGGGUUAAGGAAUGGUUGGUUCUUAUGUGAUUUACUCAACAUGGUUACAUCAUGUGCACACAAUGUCCCAUUUGGCUUUCAUGCUUAUGUUGGUCAUAUGCUUUCCAUCUAUAAUUUUUCAUUCAAUUCAUCAGCAAGAGGAGAGAAUGAGUACCUUCCAUUAGUACUAAUCAAUCUUCUAUAAACAUAAUGUAUUCUGAAAAUUAGAAGCCAGUUUUUGUACUUUAUCUCAGUGAGAAGCCAUACCCAGAAUAAUUAAGCUGAAAUGAACCCUCCUUUUUCAAUCUGUUUCUAUAUGUCCACAUGGAGCAAUUGGGCUUGGAGCAAUGUGCAUGGGGAAAAUAGAUUACUGACUUACAAUUUCUUUUUAGAAAACAAUGGGGUAUAUUCACCCCUGGUGUGUAUUUGCUGAAGCCAGAGAGGCAUGAAUUUACUUCAGUAUCUUAGCUUCCGCUCCCUAUGAUAUUGGCUGGAGAACAAUAAGGAAAUAUACCAUAGUUUUGAGCACUUAAAUCACAUAUAAGAUAAGGCACCAUUUUAAAAAUAAAAAGAUAUGAAAGAAAUUUUUAAACUAAAAGUGAAAUGACAGCUGAAAGUCCCUGAUGCUCAGGAUUUUGCAAUAAAAAGCUACAGAUCAGAUGUGGCAACCUGGGACAACUUUCUGGAGAAAUAUCCAUGUCUAAAGUAGUCAGACAAGGCUGAAUACUUGCCCCUACCUUGUUUAGUAUUUUCAUCAAUGAUCUCGAAGAAACUUUAUUGGACCUCAAUGGAUAAUUGCCCAAGCUCGGAGCAAGGAUAAUCGCCUUAUUGCUUUAUGCUGCUGCUGCUGCUGCUAUUAUUUCAUGCUCUAGGGCAAGGCUAAAUUACCUAUUAAGGAAUUGCUCAUAGAAUGACCUAAAAAUCAAUCAAGGGAAGUCUAAAAUUAUAGUUUUGGAGAAAAAAAUCCUCGAUAAGCAUACUUUAGAGCAGGUUAGAAGAUAUCAAUAUCUGGGGCUGGUUUGCUAUCACACUCUGUCCUGGUCCACUCACAUAUAUUUUAUUUCCCUGAAAGCAGAAGUAAUCAGAUCAGUCAUUUUAUGUUUUAGCAUUACCAAAGGGGGUUGGUAACACACACACACACCAUCGGUUAUUAAAGUAUUUAAUGCCAAGUCAGCUACCUAAUUGCUGUAUGCAUCCAGCAUCUGGAUUGGUGGCUUAACACCUAAAAUAGACGAACAUCAAUCACAAUUCUUGAGGGCCCUCUUGCAGUUCCCCAGAUGUGUGCCAUCUUGCUUCUUGUGGUCAGAAUCCAGGGAAAUCCCCUUGUCAACAAGAGUUUGGUGGUGGGCACUUAAAUAUUGACUUAAGGUCAGUGUUUUCAGACUUGGCACAGAAUGAUCACACUAGCAACUGGUUCAAGCUUAACUCUAAAAAAGCCUCCUCUAUCAGCUGUUUUUCAUCUCUCUUAUCAUAUCUGGGUUUUGAGAUGGCACUUAAAUCUAUUAAACAAAGACUGUGGGACAUUGCUUUCUGUGAGCUGCAUUCUCAUUGAAAAAGAUGGCAGGAGACUUCUAUGACACAAGCAUCAAAAAGUCAUCUCAUGAAUGUCAAAAUGUAUUGAACUGAAUGGUGAUUAUAUGGAAAAAUAAUGUAAUGCCUAUGCUAUAAUCCAUGUAAGUUUUAUUAAAAUAUAUUCAUUCUUUGUAUUGUUUAAAAAAAAUUGUAACCUUACUUUCCAGAUAUUCCUCAUACUCUAUGCUGGGCCUCUUCAUGAAGCGAAUUAUCUGAAGAACUUGCCUGUGGCCAUUUAUUGCUGCCUAUUAUCCAAGGCAAGUUGCAAUGUGUUCCCAUCCAAAGUGUUUCAAGCAUGCAUGCCAUAGAAGCAAAAAGCAUCAAACACUCCUUUUGAUCUUGCUGUAGAGGAUUAGUGGAAAAUAGGCUUCAAACCAAAGAUGUUCAAAUUGGAAACUGCCAGAAAGGAUUUCAAAGACAUAUCCUGACUCUGAUGGCAAUGGAGAUGUAAGCAUCAAAAUCUUAGCUGCAGUAUUUUGAAGUAAUGGAAGUUUCCAAGAAAUCUCCAAAGGCAGUCCCACUCAUGGAAGCAGUAAUGGAAAGUCAUUGCUACUAUUGUUGUUUAUAAAAUAAAUAUCACAGAGGACUCUUCAAGGAGGAAAAUUAUCCAUACUCAGCCUAUUCUCCUCACAACACAUCCAGUCAUUGGCAGCCAUAGAGGAGAUGAGAGGUCUCAGAAGGCCCCCUGGUUCAGGCUAGACUCCCAUUCACUGUCCUUCUGUCUGACCUGCUGCUCCCUACCUUGAAAACCAGCCAUUGUGACAAACGUUAAGUGCUUUGUGAGUAAAUUAAAUAACUGAGAUUCUUCUGUUCAGAAAAAAAAAUCAGAGGCACAUGUUAUGGUGUAUAGUUAUGCUUAAUAAUUCAAUUGAAUAGCUUGCGAUGUAUCUAUCUAUGGUUUCAUUAUGUACCCUUUCUUUUUUUCUGCCCAUGUGAGGAUUGCAUGUUGACAGUUUGAUAAAGUCAGUUCUUACAUCCUUGUUUUUUAUGCCACCAUAAAUCUGCUAGUCUUUAAUAUAUUAAAAGUAUGUCGCUUUUGUGACAUCAGAUCAACAUGUGGGAUAUUGAAUGAAUGAGUAACCAAAUAAAUAAAUAAGCAAAUAGAAAGCAUUGGAUACUUUUUGCUUCUGGUCCUUCUGGGAAGAGAUAUGGUGUAUAUUAGCAUGAGGAGCUCAUAUAACUUUGUUUCCAUCACUAAACCAAAAACUGUAAGUGUGUAGCACCUUUCUAUUGGAAGCAGGUAUUUCAGUACCAUGUUCAGGAAAGCAAUUAACAGCUAUUAUUUUCUGGCAAAAUGUUGUGAAAUGGUUCUACAUAAUCAUAGUUCCUAACAUUCUAAAAAUACCCCAGUCACAAAUCUGCCUCAGUGACAAAGCCACACUCUGUGUGUUGUUUUUGCUUAAUUACCAAAUAAAGUUUAUGCUGGUUAAAUAAAAUGUUCAGAUUGAUAAUUGUAAUAAAGGCUCUUGCACAGAUAACAGAACAUAGUAAGUGUUGUUUGACCAUAUUCACAUCCUGAUCACACUGACAGUUAAAGGGAUUGUUGCUUAGAAAAGACAGAAAGAAAAAAUCCUGGGUUUCUGGAAGGCAAAAAGUUCCACUGCCAUGGAGCCAUGUCAUUAAUAAGGGGGGUAUAGUUUGCCAUUUUGGAUAUUGCAGCAUAAUCCCGUUUAGACUACUGCAACGCACUCUACAUGGGGCUGCCUUUGAAGACGGUUCAGAAGCUUCAAUUAGUCCAACGGGAGGCUGCCAGGUUAAUAACUGGAGCGGCGUUCAGGGAGCGUACUACUCCUUUGUUACGCCAGCUCCACUGGCUGCCGAUUAGCUACUGAGCACAAUUCAAGGUGCUGGCUUUAGCCUAUAAAGCUCUAAACGGUUCCGGCCCAGCUUAUCUGUCCGAACGUGUCUCCUGCUACGACCCACCUCGAAGCUUAAGAUCAUCAGAUAAGGCCCUGCUCGCGGUCCCGUCAGCCUCACAGGUGCGGUUUGUGGGGACGAGAGAUAGGGCCUUUUCAGUAGUGGCUCCCCUGCCUAUGGAACGCCCUCCCCAGUGAAGUCAGGCAGGCUCCCUCCCUCCUAUCCUUCCGUAGGAAGGUUAAAACUUGGUUGUGGGACCAGGCUUUCGAAUAAGAAUCAGCAGCGCUAAUUAUUAUUAUGUAUGCCAAAACUCAAUUGACAGACCCAGUCUUUUGAACUUGAACACGUCCAUUUGCAUUUUAGAAUGUUUUUAUGAAUGUUGAUGUAAGUUAAUAAUUUUUAAUCUGAUUUAUAGUGUAUUGUAUACUUUUUAUAUGUGUGCUUAUUGUAAGCUGCCCUGAGUCCCCUCUCGGGUGAGAAGGGCGGGAUAUAAAUGUUGUAAUAAAUAAUAAGAAAC